rnacentral:rRNA from 1 species
GGCUCAGGAUGAACGCUAGCGGCAGGCUUAACACAUGCAAGUCGAGGGGUAGAGGAAGCUUGCUUCCUUGAGACCGGCGCACGGGUGCGUAACGCGUAUGCAACCUACCUUUUACAGAGGGAUAGCCCAGAGAAAUUUGGAUUAAUACCUCAUGGUAUAUAUCAUUCGCAUGUUUGAUAUAUUAAAGUUCCAACGGUAAAAGAUGAGCAUGCGUCCCAUUAGUUAGUUGGUAAGGUAACGGCUUACCAAGACAAUGAUGGGUAGGGGUCCUGAGAGGGAGAUCCCCCACACUGGUACUGAGACACGGACCAGACUCCUACGGGAGGCAGCAGUGAGGAAUAUUGGACAAUGGGCGCAAGCCUGAUCCAGCCAUGCCGCGUGCAGGAAGACGGUCCUAUGGAUUGUAAACUGCUUCUAUACAGGAAGAAACACACCCUCGUGAGGGUACUUGACGGUACUGUAAGAAUAAGGAUCGGCUAACUCCGUG